UCCUGAACCUAGCUGCGCAUCGCCGUAGGCUGAGGCCUGAAUGCGGUGGCUCUUGGUGCAACCUGGCCCCCAACACCAAUUUAGCUAGGAGCAACCAUAUGACACAGGUCAAGCAAAGGAAAUGAAAUUUGAAGUUACUACUGGGGUUCCCAGGAAAGUUUUUAGGACAAGCUCCAUAGAGCAGAACUCAUCCUUAUCCUACAUUUGUCUUUUGAAGAUGGAUUUGAUUAGGAGGAUAAUGAAGCACCUGACUCCAAAGAGGAAGGGGAUGAGGAUGGAGAUGAAGAUGAUGGAGAUGAAGAGGAAUAUUUAGCUGGUCCACCUGAAGUAUAUGAGGAAAAGGAGGAAGAGGAGGAGGAGGAUGAAGAUGAAGCAGGAUCAGAAUUGGGAGAGGGA